GAACUUAAGAGUUUGAUCCUGGCUCAGAUUGAACGCUGGCGGCAUGCUUUACACAUGCAAGUCGAACGGCAGCGGGGGCUUCGGCCUGCCGGCGAGUGGCGAACGGGUGAGUAAUGCAUCGGAACGUGCCCAUGUCGUGGGGGAUAACGUAGCGAAAGCUACGCUAAUACCGCAUACGCCCUGAGGGGGAAAGCGGGGGAUUCUUCGGAACCUCGCGCGAUUGGAGCGGCCGAUGUCGGAUUAGCUAGUAGGUGAGGUAAAGGCUCACCUAGGCGACGAUCCGUAGCGGGUCUGAGAGGAUGAUCCGCCACACUGGGACUGAGACACGGCCCAGACUCCUACGGGAGGCAGCAGUGGGGAAUUUUGGACAAUGGG
rnacentral:rRNA from 1 species